GCUUGCUCCACCGGAAAAAGAAGAGUGGCGAACGGGUGAGUAACACGUGGGUAACCUGCCCAUCAGAAGGGGAUAACACUUGGAAACAGGUGCUAAUACCGUAUAACAAUCGAAACCGCAUGGUUUUGAUUUGAAAGGCGCUUUCGGGUGUCGCUGAUGGAUGGACCCGCGGUGCAUUAGCUAGUUGGUGAGGUAACGGCUCACCAAGGCCACGAUGCAUAGCCGACCUGAGAGGGUGAUCGGCCACAUUGGGACUGAGACACGGCCCAAACUCAUACGGGAGGCAGCAGUAGGGAAUCUUCGGCAAUGGACGAAAGUCUGACCGAGCAACGCCGCGUGAGUGAAGAAGGUUUUCGGAUCGUAAAACUCUGUUGUUAGAGAAGAACAAGGAUGAGAGUAACUGUUCAUCCCUUGACGGUAUCUAACCAGAAAGCCACGGCUAACUACGUGCCAGCAGCCGCGGUAAUACGUAGGUGGCAAGCGUUGUCCGGAUUUAUUGGGCGUAAAGCGAGCGCAGGCGGUUUCUUAAGUCUGAUGUGAAAGCCCCCGGCUCAACCGGGGAGGGUCAUUGGAAACUGGGAGACUUGAGUGCAGAAGAGGAGAGUGGAAUUCCAUGUGUAGCGGUGAAAUGCGUAGAUAUAUGGAGGAACACCAGUGGCGAAGGCGGCUCUCUGGUCUGUAACUGACGCUGAGGCUCGAAAGCGUGGGGAGCAAACAGGAUUAGAUACCCUGGUAGUCCACGCCGUAAACGAUGAGUGCUAAGUGUUGGAGGGUUUCCGCCCUUCAGUGCUGCAGCUAACGCAUUAAGCACUCCGCCUGGGGAGUACGACCGCAAGGUUGAAACUCAAAGGAAUUGACGGGGGCCCGCACAAGCGGUGGAGCAUGUGGUUUAAUUCGAAGCAACGCGAAGAACCUUACCAGGUCUUGACAUCCUUUGACCACUCUAGAGAUAGAGCUUCCCCUUCGGGGGCAAAGUGACAGGUGGUGCAUGGUUGUCGUCAGCUCGUGUCGUGAGAUGUUGGGUUAAGUCCCGCAACGAGCGCAACCCUUAUUGUUAGUUGCCAUCAUUUAGUUGGGCACUCUAGCAAGACUGCCGGUGACAAACCGGAGGAAGGUGGGGAUGACGUCAAAUCAUCAUGCCCCUUAUGACCUGGGCUACACACGUGCUACAAUGGGAAGUACAACGAGUCGCGAAGUCGCGAGGCUAAGCUAAUCUCUUAAAGCUUCUCUCAGUUCGGAUUGUAGGCUGCAACUCGCCUACAUGAAGCCGGAAUCGCUAGUAAUCGCGGAUCAGCACGCCGCGGUGAAUACGUUCCCGGGCCUUGUACACACCGCCCGUCACACCACGAGAGUUUGUAACACCCGAAGUCGGUG
rnacentral:rRNA from 1 species